UGAAUCAACUGGCAGGGGAGAUACCAUGAUCAUGGAGGUGGUUUUCCCAGAGUGAAGCUCAUCCAUUGCACUCAUUGCAUUCCCCAAAUGUGGGAAGCUUGACUGCAUAAUUUGUGGUAGUGGGGGAAUGCAUUUGCACUCUCCCU
rnacentral:snRNA from 1 species